CACAUUCAUAACAUAUACUGAUGAACUGUGAUCAGUGCUGUUAUAUUUUUAAUCUGUUUCCUAUGGAAACAAGGUUUAAGCAAUUGUGCUUUCUGUUAGUUUUGAUCCUCAAUUAGCUUUUGAACCUAUUGGCUGGUUUAAGUAAAACUUGACGGAAAUGUUGAUAAAUAAAAUAUUGCAGGUUUCAUGAUAACAGGUGGCUUGAUAGAGCAGAAGCAGUCUGAUGAGGGAAGUUGUUACAGUUAAACUCACAGCUUACUAGACAGCAAAGAAUCCACAUGAGAAAAGGCUCUUAUGAAUGCCUCAGUGAUAARUAUCCUUCAGCAUUUGGAAUGGAUGCCUGCUAAGACAUGAAAGUCAAUUUUCCACAAACCAUGAGUCAGUAGAAAAUCAAUCUCUGUUAGUUCUGAUAUUCAAUAAGCUAACUUUCUAUUUGACUGUUAUUUUAUGUACUAGUUUUAUAUGGUAUUUGCCUAGCACUUCAAAACCUCCACUAAUCCUAAAAGCGCUGAUCCUACAGACUUAAACCAGGCUACUCAUAUGUAUAUAAUUAACAGCAUUUGGUUUUGCAGACUUGAUCUUCAAAAUCAGGUUAUCUCAAUGUAGAUGCUUAAAUUUGGAUUUAUUGCCUAAUUUAUUUUGAAAUAAUUUUCAUAAGCAUUGAGUUGUUUGUGUGCUAAUUAACCUCUCCUCCAUUAAUUGAAGGAAACAUUAUUAGUUUUUGUCUUGUUUUUCAGUUCACAAAUGAGAACUAAGACUUGGCGAGACUAAAGGAACAGCGCCAUGUUUUGAUGGCAGAGAGCAUGUAUAUUUUCAGCUCAAAGAAUAACACUCUUGUGAUUAAUACCUGUGUCACGGUGUGGGUACGCUUCCAAAAAUUUGGAAGCAGUAUUUACCACUCUUCUGUGGGUUAAGGAUGUCCAGAACAAAAUAUACUGUUCCUGGGGUCAUUUCACCAGAAAUAUGCAGGGUGAGAUCAUUCUUUCUGUUUCUGUGAAUAUGUAGUAUCCCAGACUUCUGAGUCUUGUUGCCUUAUUUCAGAGAAACUCUUUUGAUUUACUGUUCUCCUGUGGUCAUUUUCAGUUCUGCAUAUUUCCAAGUAUUUCCCUUGCACAGAAUAUCUGUUUGAAUU
rnacentral:lncRNA from 1 species